rnacentral:lncRNA from 1 species
UAUCCUUGCUAAAAUAUAAGAGAAGCACACAUUAAAACAGACUUCGGGAAAUGAGACCCUAGAAAAGUUUGUAUAAAUGUUAAGAGGAGCAAUCCCUAGCUAAAGCUAGACCGCUUUACUAAAGGGCAAAUUUGUAAAAUAUUCAGCUUUGUUUAUAUUUUUUGUGUGAAAGUAAGAAUUUGAAAAAAGGAUUGAUUUUUCAGAUCCUUAUAGAGAGACUGGGAUUUUCUCCGUGUUUUGUUAUAUGGGCUGUAUAUAUUGUCUGAUAAAUCAAGGUGCAAAUCAGUUCUUAGAGAACAAUUUCUAGAAUUAGAUGGCAAUAUGUGUCACUGAAUACAAUGACACUGACUUCCAAUCUGUCCUUUUAAUAUGGAUGUAAUAUACAAAAUAAUGCAUUGACAAUACCAUCUUCUCUAUUGUCCAGGAACUAUGAAUUGUAUGACAUUGAUUGCUAGGCAUUUAAUGUUGUUUGCUGAAACUGCCAUUUAAGAGGUAAUCUAGGCAUGUAUCGACGUGCUUGGCUGAACAGUGAAUGUACCAGUUAAAAAUACUAAAUUGUCAAAUGUUCUAGACACUUUAAUAUACCCUUAAAACCAACUUUUCUCAAAAACCUUCCAAUAAUUUUGUGCCUUUUGAUUAUCAUGUUUGUGUUUUUAGCAUGACAAUAUUGUUUAUAUAAUUUAGGUAAAGUAGUGCUUGUACCUCGCUCUGUAAAAAUCAAGUGGUAGCCCUAUGCUUUUUCUGUUAACCUUCACUAUCUGUAAUGUGACAGCUGGCUGACAGUAUUCGAUCAUAUUACAAACAGGUAAUGCAGAUUAAAAUUACAAUAUUUCAACAAGGAAGUAAAGCCUGUGGCUUAAAGAGCCCCUACAUUUACUCAGAAAAUAUUUGUAAACUGGAGACGUAAAAAAAACAUAUAGACAGAAUCAGGAUACUUUUAUUAUGCUAAAAACAAAGUGAAAGAUAAAUUUAAAUUUUCAGCACUGGCUGUCUCUUAAUUUGCUGCUUUUUAAAUAUUAAGAAAUUGGGGAGCAAACCCCUGUGUUAAUGUUAUGUAAGAAUAGAUAAAAGGGUGCACACCAAACAGUAUUGCUCAGCACAAAAAGUAAUCUUUAUUACUCUAAGAUUUUUAUACAAAAAGACAGCUGUCCCUUGAGAAAGGCAUGUUUUUGGUGCCGAAACAUUGGGGUCUUUAUUUGACACAUGUCCAGCAGUGAUAGGCUUACUGUAAGUUAUGAGUAGUUGCACUUUAAAGGACCACUAUAGGCAUCCAGACCACUUCAGCUUAAUGAAGUGGUCUGGGUGCCUGGUCCAGCUAGGGUUAACCCUUUUUUUUUUAUAAACAUAGCAGUUUCAGAGAAACUGCUAUGUUUAUAAAUGUGGUAAUCCACAAUGUGGUAAUCCAGCCCCUAGAGCCUCUAGUGGCUGUCUCAUUGACAGCCGCUAGAGGCGCUUGCGUGCUUCUCACUGUGAAAAUCACAGUGAGAAGACGCCAGCGUCCAUAGGAAAGCAUUGCAUUGCGCAUUCAGCCGAUGACGUCGCUAGGUAGGAGGAUUGGAGAAGGAAAGAUUUUAACCAGUAUGUUUUCCUGGCACUAUAGUGGUCCUUUAAUUCAAGCCUGUGUCACUUGUUUUGCAUGUCUUUGAUUUUUGUACAAAUGCUGUCUCUUUACGUAAUAAAUAUUACUUUUUGUAUUGAGCCAUAAUUGGUGUGCAUCCUUUUGUCUAUUGAUAUUUGUUGUUUGGCACUGGUGGGAGUGUCUCUAUAGGGUAGUACCCUGUUCUUAAAUUUGGCAGUUAUUGAGGUAUGUUCACUGUGCAUGUUUAUUGUGUAAAUGUUAUGUAUGAAAUAAUCCCUGCACAUCAACCUUGCCCCUUAGUAAAUGUAGCCUUUUAUUCAUCAGGAUUUAUUGAAUGCAUUUGCAAAAUAAAUGGAUUUCCCAGAAAUGUAGGUUUAUAUCCAUGGAGUGGCUGAGCUCUGGAUAAUGUCCUUAGCUGCCAAUCUGGGGUGUUUUGUACUUGGUUUUGGUGUUUUUAAGUAUUGCCCACAUUUCCUUGUUUUUCUUGACAAUUCACACACACCAUCACUUAAAUGCCUUCUGUCUGGAGCAUUUAAGACUUUUUUUUAUAUGUUUGAUAGUCAUAUUACAGAAAAUGCAAACAUUCCUCACUAGGAGGUACAUUGUUCAUUGUGCCAGAGAUUAACAAUGACCCCGUAGAUAAUACAGUUGGUCGGUGUGGCCCCCAAUAAGUGCAAAUUGUUUCGGUUUUCAGGAUUAAAUUUAUGCAAACACUACCAAGGGUAAAUAUAUAAUAUGGAGAAAAAUUGCUAACUUGAAUCGUAGAACUUUUAAUCACAUGUGCAAUAUAGCUCCAAUUUUGUGAAAUAUUAAGGACAACUGAAGGAACCCAGACCACUUCCUCUCAAAGAAGUCACCUUGGUGCAGUGGUCCUUUAGUUUUAACCCAGCAAUGUAAAGAAAUGCAGUUUAGUAGAUAUGGCAAUGCUUACAUUGUCUCUGCCUGACAGACACGACAGGUGCUUCCCCUGUGAGGACCAAGUUAAACUCGGUCCUCGCUAACCUCCAAUAGGAACACAGUUCAGAAUACAUCAAGUUCAUUUAAUUGUUGUGGAAAUGUGUUUCCUGAUAUCAUUGCUCUGUGCUUAUUAAGGACCCAUCUCUGGUGUCCUCAGAAGCAAGACACCAAAGAUUAAAUAUGGGAUAGAGGGACAGGAGAUUAAAUUCCACCAAAGCUGUAACUGUUGGGAGGUAUAAGUCCACGAUUAACCAUAUGCACCUGUGCAAUAUUUUUGCUACAUUUGCAGGGGUGAUAAAAUCCACAAAUAAAUCACUUAAUAUUCCUCAUCACUUAAAAAUGAAAAGUUUUAAAUGGGUCUACAAUACUAUUUACCAUGUUAAUGCAACGGAAAAAUAACCCUUACAAUGACAGGUAAAACAAAAAUACACUCUCUCGAUGAAAUACAAAAAUUAAACAUUCAUUCUAUACCAGGAAAAGAGAAGGUUGUGUUCCCUUGAUUUUAAAACCAGAGGGAAACCAGCAAUCCAGGGUAGUAGAGUAAUUAAUCAAUUGUUCUUGCAUCUGAAAAAAGCUAUUUGUAAUUGCACGAUUAGAUUUUGUAACAUUUUUUUGUGACUUUAUUUUAUGUGCUGCAGGGUUUAAUGGUUUUGAAUUUUUUAACAUGGCCCUCUUCCAAGACAUAAAAUAAGAACUUGAAGGUAUUGCAGGAGAACUGCACAUAUUUUUCAAGAUAUAUUGACUCUUUUUGAAAUUACAUUAACUAUUCAUGAUCGGUUAUGGCUGACUCCCUAAAAAGAAUGUAUAAAGAUACACACCAAAAAUGCACAAAACCUUAAAUUAGUUUUAGCUUACUUAUAACAAUGGAAACAUUAUUGCUUAUCAGACUGAACCCACCCACAGGAGCAGUCUAUUACCAAGAUUCCACGGAGGUCCCCUCCGCAUUAGAGAUCCACAAUGUUUUCACUAAGGUACAUCUGAUAACUCUCUAGACACAUUGAGCAAAGCAUCCACCUAAUUCCACUGCCAAGGUCUUAAACAAUUGUUAGAUAAUGCGUGCUAUUUCACAGGGAACCCAAACAAUUAGCGUAUCAGGUCAAUUAUUAGAGUCUGUAACGGAAGUUCCAGGUAGUUGCCUAUCUAAACAGAAGAUGAUUGUUUUGUUCUGUCUCUCUACUCUUUUAUAAAUGGAAAGCUUAAGAGACACUCUUAGAGUAGCUUGUCUUAUAGGUUGUUGCCCACUAAGAAUGUCUCAAACAAAGUUUCAGUUUGGUAGCUUUCACUUCCUUUCUAAUCAUAUUUAUUGUGUGGUUUGAAUUUUAUUACAUACAAAGACUAUAGAAAUAUAAAGGAAGGGGUUUAAACCAUAAGCACAUUAGGUGGGGAAGUGCUCCAUUGUAACACCCUUCUUGCGUUCUAUUAUUUUUAUUAUUAUUAUUGGUAUUUAUAUAGUGCCAGCAUAUUCCGUAGCGCUUUACAAUAUUAUCAAGAGGGAAGAUUUAACAAUAAAUGAGACAAUUACAAAAACAUACAGGAACAAUAGGUUGAAGAGGGUUCAAAUGAGCUUACAGUCUAGACUCUAGAGGAUCUAUUAUGUGUAUUGUGCACAUGGGAUUGGAAGGAGUGGGAUUAUAGAUAAAAGCAUUGUCAGCCUCCUUCCAUUCAUUAUGACACCUUGUGAAACAUACUAGAAGAAGGCACUAAUGUCUUCUAUAUUCCUCCUCCCACUAAUUUAGGACAGUCACCCCUCCACUGCAUGUACUGUGGGAGCUCAAAGGGUGCUGGCUGUAUUUUUUUUAGAACCCCAUGAGAUCCCUUUGAUGGAAAAUGCACAUUUCAUAGUUUGGUAAGAUUUUAGUAAGUGGCACAUUUGUUGUUUGGCAUGCACUAUGGCUAACCUGGGAUAACCUGACAUCUACAGGAUAUUAGAUCACAAGCUAAGUACCUACAUGGGUUCCUGGAGAAUUAAAAACUGGGGCAAAUGGGCUAUUGUAGCCUCUCUGAUAAAGAAGAUAAGACGUCUAGUAAAAAAUAGUUUCAUUUAAUAAUUAGCUAUAUUUCAAUACUUAUUGAAAGAUAUAUACAUUUUUCGAUUUUUUGUAAACUUUUGCUGUUGUUGGUAUACAGAAAUUUUCUCAAGGAUAUUAUUUUGCUAUAGCAUCAGUGUCCACAUUUGGCCCUCUUCUAUCAUAUUUAAUCAGUUGCAUACUUCUGUUUUUUUUUUUUUUUUAUCCUUAACUCUUUUCUUAUGUGCUGUCAUGUCUUAUGCUAUAUAGGUAGAUAUAUGCAGAUGCUAAUAUAUAUGCUUUUUCUUGAUUAAGAUGUCUGGAAAAAUUUGUGCCAAAUAGCGAAAGCUACAUGCCAGCCAAUCAGGGCCAGAUUUACCAAAAGACCACCGAGACCAUGGCCUCAGAGUGGCAUGGCCGGUGAGGGAGACCAAAGAUCCCCCUCACCCGCUAGUCCAUUCUUCUGCUGUGUGGCUGAGGCCAACAGGGGAGAUAUCCCUGGGCCAGCCACUGCAGGUCCGGCGCUCAAAGACAGGUAGGCAGGCUCUCCAUUGCCUGUAUUAUAUUGUAGCAUUGCAGUGGGUUACUGCAGCAAUGCUCUUAUACAUUUCCCGGCGCCGGCUGGAAGGAGCUGUCUGCAUCCACUGGAGGUGCAAACAUGUGGCAGCUCCCACCAGGAAAUCAGAUUCCCCCUUAUGGUCCAAGGUAAUCCUAAGGCAGGGUGGAAUACACUUUUAUACAGCCUCUGUCACCACAUUAUGGUCCCUGUCACCCGACCACAGCCCCUGUCACCCCAGUAUAGCGCUUGGAAUCCCACUACUGCCCCUGUCACCUCACUAAAGCACUUGUCAGCUCACUACAGCCCCUGCCACCUGACUAUAUUCACUAUACAUCCCGAAACAGUCCCUACCUCCCCAAUAGAGCUUCUUUUCCCCAAGUAUAGCCCAUAUACCUUCACUACAGCCACUAUACACACCACAAUAAUCCCUAAUUUCCACUACAGUCCCAAUUCCCCCCACUACAGGCCCUAUUCCUCCACUACAGCCCUUAUGCCCACACUAUAGCCACUAUCCUCCACACUAUAGCCACUAUCCUCUCCACUAUAGCCCCUAUAACCACACUAUAAUAACCACUAAAGCCCCUAUUCCUCCACCAGACCCUAAAUUCAACAAGCAGCCAGCCCCAGACAUAUAACCCCACAAGCAGCAUUCCCACAAAUAUACAGCACAACAAACACCCUCCACACACACACACCAACACACCCUCUCCCAGUCUUGUCCCACUUAUCAUCCAACCACCAACUUAGUCACAUUCACUAAUCAAUCAUACCCCAAACUAGUUGUAUAAAUGCUUGCAGCAAACGUUAUAUGUGCAUAUGUGUAUAUAGAUAUAUAUAUUUAUAUAUGGCAGAGGUGCAUUGAUGAUACUGGCCUUGGGUCAGCAUGGAGGGUAAAUCUGGCCCUACAGCCAAUACACGAUUAGUGGAAUAAUUGAUAUAUGAGCUGCACCUAUAAUCAGUACAUGUACUUGAUGCAUUGGGAAGACAGAGAUUAGAAUAAUGAAUUGUAUGUUGUGUCUGUCUGAUUACUAUACUGGUCUCUGCACUCUGCACCCUUUCUACCAACACCAUAGAUUCUAAGGCAUAGAACAUUUUAGUUCACAAUUCUAACAUUAUCAUAGUACUCUAGCCCAGGUUUUAAUCUGUUGACACACCACAUCCUGGGUUUGAGAGCCACACAAUGUCUGAUCCCUGCCGGUAUAUUGAUUAGACACAUAUAGUUGCAAAAUCUAUAAUAAAAACUGUAUAUAUUGUAACCAUCAAAACAUCUGUUUUUCAUUGACCACCCUGGGGUUGAUAUAACUCAUCAUGCCACUGAUAUUGCAAUGUUAAUGUGCUAAACAACAAAUUUCUUAUUGCUGUUUCACUAGGAAGCAAUCUUCUCAGCUUCUAGAGAUCUUGACAUUAGACUAUUUUUGUAAGUGAUCAGUUGCCUAUUACACAAUGGGUAGGAACAGGAAAAGAGAGUGUUCCCCCCCGAAAAUGUAGAAUAUAGAUUAUCAACAUACCAACAAAUUGAACGUACAACUGCACUGAGAAAGUGAGCACUACUCUACCAGAAAUAGCAUUUAUUCAAAUGAAUAUUCUUAACGGGUAUAUAGCACACAUAUUAUGGCUGGCUUGAAUUAUCUCUGCGGACUGUAUUUAACUGUCUUUGAGAUAAGGCUAUCCCUGCUAGAGAGGAGCGAUAGGAAAUAUGUCCCUCUGAUAAGGGGAAAUAGACAAAAAAAAAAAGGACAGUUUUUUUUCUUCUGGUUUUGUUUGUUUUUUUCUCUUGGAUAUUAUUAAUAUAUAUAUCUUUUUUUUAGAUUUUUUUUUUUGUUUUGAUUUUUAACUAAAAUCAUUUGAAAGAAGCACUUCCUGCCUUCACCAAAUUAAAUGUGGGACAAAAUUCUAUCUGUAAGAUUUAGUCUCUCAGACUUUGACAGCUAAUUUAGCAUGCUUUUUUACAGCAGUCACGGUUUAC